AGCGACACAUCGCAUCCGCGCCUCUUCAGUUGUUGGCUCAAGCGCUCGUUGGCCUUGGCCGACRUCGGUUUCCUGUGUUGAAUACCUAUCGCGAAGGCAUUUUGUCGGCUACGUUGUCCCUUUUCCGCCUCGCACUGCUGCGUCUGUCGGCGUUGUGGUGCGGGGUGGACCUCAAAGCGUGCGCCGUGUUCCGCAUCCCGUGCACUUCAAUACGGGUGCUCGGGUUGUCRGCCCACRGCGCACUGCUCGGUCCCUCGGAUGCRGAACACCGAGUGGGUACGAGGCCCUCGGCC
rnacentral:misc_RNA from 1 species